AGUGAACGCUGGCGGUAGGCCUAACACAUGCAAGUCGAACGGCAGCACAGUAAGCGCUUGCCCUUACGGGUGGCGAGUGGCGGACGGGUGAGGAAUACAGCGGAAUCUACUUUUUCGUGGGGGAUAACGUAGGGAAACUUACGCUAAUACCGCAUACGACCUACGGGUGAAAGCAGUGGAUCUUCGGACCUUGCGCGAUUGAAUGAGCCGAUGUCGGAUUAGCUAGUUGGCGGGGUACAGGGCCACCAAGGCGACGCUCCGUAGCUGGUCUGAGCGGAAGAUAAGCCACACUGGAACUGAGACACGGUCCAGACUCCUACGGGAGGCAGCAGUGGGGAAUAUUGGACAAUGGGCGCAAGCCUGAUCCAGCCAUACCGCGUGGGUGAAGAAGGCCUUCGGGUUGUAAAGCCCUUUUGUUGGGAAAGAAAAGCAGCAGGUUAAGACCCCGCUGUUCUGACGGUACCCAAAGAAUAAGCACCGGCUAACUUCGUG
rnacentral:rRNA from 1 species